rnacentral:hammerhead_ribozyme from 1 species
GUACUACUGAAGAGUCCCAAACUAGGAUGAAACAGCUGUCCAGUAU